GAAAGGAAGAUUAAUACCCCAUAAUAUAAUGAUUGGCAUCAAUUAUUAUUGAAAACUCCGGUGGAUAGAGAUGGGCACGCGCAAGAUUAGAUAGUUGGUGAGGUAACGGCUCACCAAGUCAAUGAUCUUUAGGGGUCCUGAGAGGGAGAUCCCCCACACUGGUACUGAGACACGGACCAGACUCCUACGGGAGGCAGCAGUGAGGAAUAUUGGACAAUGGGUGAGAGCCUGAUCCAGCCAUCCCGCGUGAAGGAAGACGGUCCUAUGGAUUGUAAACUUCUUUUGUACAGGGAUAAACCUACUCUCGUGAGGGUAGCUGAAGGUACUGUACGAAUAAGCACCGGCUAACUCCGUGCCGGCAGCCGCGGUAAUACGGAGGGUGCAAGCGUUAUCCGGAUUUAUUGGGUUUAAAGGGUCCGUAGGCGGACUUGUAAGUCAGUGGUGAAAUCUCAUAGCUUAACUAUGAAACUGCCAUUGAUACUGCAGGUCUUGAGUAAAUUUGAAGUGGCUGGAAUAAGUAGUGUAGCGGUGAAAUGCAUAGAUAUUACUUAGAACACCAAUUGCGAAGGCAGGUCACUAAGAUUUAACUGACGCUGAUGGACGAAAGCGUGGGUAGCGAACAGGAUUAGAUACCCUGGUAGUCCACGCCGUAAACGAUGCUAACUCGUUUUUGGAUUUUUAAGA
rnacentral:rRNA from 1 species